GCGAGAGAGUAGGGGAGGAGGGGGAGGGGGCGGAGAGCGAUAGAGCCAUUAGCUCGGCUGCUGCAGACAUCGUUCGGCUAGUAGAGGGGACUCUUCCAUCGACAGCGGCACGCGAGGGUCAGGGAGCCCCGGCACGGCAGCACACAGGAGAGGCGCAGACUCCGAAGCCCCGCACACCGCACAGGAAUGCUGAGAGCACUCGGAGAUGGAGUGACCGUACGGACCGAAAGAGCGGGAAUAUCAGGUGGUCCCCUCACUGACCAGCCGGGUCACAGCAGAACCGACCGGACCCUCAUCUCCGACUGAACCCUGCGGACCCCGCGGACCACACCUGCCUCCUCAUCUCAGGUAGAGCUGGGGCUCCGUGAGGCUGCUGUGACUGUGAAGAUCCCCCAUGGGCCAUACCACUCGCUAAGGCUCGGGAGGGGGAGUAGAACUGCUUAAUGAGGUCACUGGAGGUUGGCUCUUGCUGUCCAAGGGAAAUGAUUCCGCAUGAAGUGCAUGGAUCACACCGCACCCUCUCCAGACGUCUGUCCACCACCACCAACCACCGUUGAUCCCACACACACACACACACACACACACACACACACACACCACACCCUCUCCAGACCUCUGUUCCGUGGUGGCAGAUUGACCACCACCAACACCCACCAC